rnacentral:rRNA from 1 species
UACAUGUGGGGCAAGCGUUGUUCGGAAUUACUGGGCAUAAAGGGCGCGUAGGUGGUUUGUUAAGUCAGGGGUGAAAUCCCGCGGCCCAACCGUGGAACUGCCUUUGAUACUGGCGAACUUGAGUGCGUGAGGGGUAGGGGGAACGAGCAGUGUAGCGGUGAAAUGCGUAGAUAUUGCUCGGAAGGCCAGAGCCGAAGGGGCCCUACUGGUGCGCAACUGACACUGAGGCACGAAAGCGUGGGGAGCAAACAGG